rnacentral:rRNA from 1 species
CCCGGUGAUUUAUUAAACGGCCGCAGUUAGGAGCUGUGCUAAGGUAGCGUAGUAAGUUGUCCUUUAAAUGGGGAAAGGAAUGAAUGGUUUGACGUGGGAGAGCCUGUCUCGGAUGGAAGUAAAGAAAUUUUCUUUCCGGUGAAAAGCCCGGAAUUUAGUUAAAAGACGAGAAGACCCUUUCGAGCUUGAUUAGGUCUGAAAUAAGUUUCAACGCUAAAGUUUAGUUGGGGCAACUGAGGAGCAAGAGAAGACUCCUCGAGGGUAUGAGGAUCCAGAUGUUUUGAAUUGAGAAAAAGCUACCGUAGGGAUAACAGCGUUAUCUUUUCUGAGAGAACAUAUUGAAGAGAAG